GGUAAGAUGGCCGAGAGUAAGGCGGUGGGUUGUAGCCCCAAAUACGAAGGUUCAAGUCCUUUUCUUAUCA
rnacentral:tRNA from 1 species